rnacentral:snRNA from 1 species
ACUAUUGCGGUGCAGUUU